rnacentral:rRNA from 1 species
GAUGAACGCUGGCGGCGUGCCUAAUACAUGCAAGUCGAGCGAACGGACGAGACUCUUGCUUCUCUUAUGUUAGCGGCGGACGGGUGAGUAACACGUGGAUAACCUACCUAUAAGACUGGGAUACCUUCGGGAACCCGGAUCUAAUACCGGAUAAUAUUUUGAACCGCAUGGUUCAAAAGUCAAAGCCGUUCUUGCUGUCACUUAUAGAUGUAUCCGCGCUGCAUUAGCUAGUUGGUAAGGUAACGGCUUACCAAGGCAACGAUGCAUAGCCGACCUGAGAGGGUGAUCGGCCACACUGGAACUGAGACACGGUCCAGACUCCUACGGGAGGCAGCAGUAGGGAAUCUUCCGCAAUGGGCGAAAGCCUGACGGAGCAACGCCGCGUGAGUGAUGAAGGUCUUCGGAUCGUAAAACUCUGUUAGUAGGGAAGAACAUAUGUGUAAGUAACUGUGCACAUCUUGACGGUACCUAAUCAGAAAGCAACGGCUAACUACGUG